GACGAACGCUGGCGGCGUGCUUAACACAUGCAAGUCGAGCGGUAAGGCCCUUUCGGGGUACACGAGCGGCGAACGGGUGAGUAACACGUGGGUGACCUGCCCUUAGCUCUGGGAUAAGCCUGGGAAACUGGGUCUAAUACCGGAUAUGACUCCAUGACGCAGGUUGUGGGGUGGAAAGCCUUGUGCGGCUAGGGAUGGGCCCGCGGCCUAUCAGCUUGUUGGUGGGGUGAUGGCCACCAAGGCGACGACGGGUAGCCGGCCUGAGAGGGCGACCGGCCACACUGGGACUGAGACACGGCCCAGACUCCUACGGGAGGCAGCAGUGGGGAAUCUUGCGCAAUGGGCGAAAGCCUGACGCAGCGACGCCGCGUGGGGAUGACGGCC
rnacentral:rRNA from 1 species